rnacentral:lncRNA from 1 species
UAGGAUUUACCGAAAGCAGCAGUCGGCCACAUCUUCUCGAACACAAAGCGGGAAAAGAGGCCUGUUGGCCCAUGACGGACCGAGUCGGCAACGGAGCCCGCGAACCGCGCUAGGGCUUCCCUCCGCUCAGAUUAUAAGAUACCCAAUUCCGCUUUCACGCAACCGAGAUCCACAAAUCCCUAGCGAGUCCGCCCAACCUGACGCCGAAUCCCUCGUCGCGGCCGCUCCUGACGUCGCCGAUGGCCGGAAAGGAGGGGUCUUUCUCGCUGAAGCCGUGCAGCGGCGCCAGACGUGUCACGGAGGAGGAGGAGGAUGCCCUGGUCUGUAACGCCGGAAGUGGCGCGUCUGCCCUGAAGUCGUGCAGCAACAGAGGCGGCGGCAAGAACCUGGGGGGCUUCUCGCUGAAGCCGUGCAGCAACAGAGGCCGCGGCAGGAACCUGGGGGGCUUCNN